GAGAAAACGCGUGAUUUUCGUUAAUGGGGAUUCUCAAAGAAAAACGCGUGAUUUUCGCUUAAAUGGGGAUUCUCGAAGAGAAAACGCGUGAUUUUCGCUUAAAUGGGGGAUUCUCGAAGAAAAAACGCGUGAUUUUCGCUUAAAUGGGGAUUCUCGAAGAGAAAACGUGUGAUUUUUGGGUUAAAAGGGGGAUUCUCAAAGAGAAAAAACGUGAUUUUCGCUUAAAUGGGGGAUUUGCAAAGAGAAAUCGCGUGAUUUUCGGGUUAAAUGGGGGAUUCUCGAAGAGAAAACGCGUGAUUUUCACUAAAAUGGGGGAUUCUCGAAGAGAAAACGCGUGAUUUUCGGGUUUAAAUGGGGGAUUUGUGAAGAGAAAAUGCGUGAUUUUUUGGUUAAAUGGGGGAUUGUCGAAGAGAAAACGCGUGAUUUUUGCUUAAAUGGGGAAUUUCCGAAGAGAAAACGCGUGAUUUUGGGGUCAAAUGGGGGAUUCUCGAAGAGCAAAUGCCGUGAUUUUUGGUUAAAUGGGGGAUUGUCGAAGAGAAAACGCGUGAUUUUUGCUUAAAUGGGG
ensembl:lncRNA